UGAGUUAUAGAUUAAUCGGCAAAUCACCUAGGUUUGAGCUAGGCCUAUACAUGUUCGAAUCAUGUUAACUCAC